UUUUUAUCUCUACUCUAAAUAGCUUAAGCUAACUUUCGAAAUCUCGUGAUGAGAUGUUCAAAUUCGUGUUAGGAUUUGCGUCACCGCUCGCUGUAGAGAAGGAACUUCGCUCUUCAUUCGUACAGACAGCAGCUGUUCGCCAUGUUACUGGGUCUCUUAUCAGAGGCGAAGGUCUUAGAUUCGCCAUCGUGAGUUCUCAGAAUCACUUUCUUACUUUAUGCGCUGCUUAGAUUUGGUGACUUGGUUCUGAUUUAGAUGAUUUACAGUAAAAAUUGAAAACUUGAGCUCCAUUGCAGUUCAGUGAGCUUGUGUUGACUUCUUUUUUUCAUCUCAAUUUUGUUUAAAGGUUGUAGCUCGUUUCAAUGAGGUUGUGACUAAGUUGCUUUUGGAAGGAGCGAUUGAGACUUUCAAGAAGUAUUCAGUCAGAGAAGAAGACAUCGAAGUAAAAGUCUUUUGCUUGUUGAGAUAUAUGUUCAAUCAGAAUAAAAAGAUCUGAGCUUUCACGAAGCUAACGAAACUCUUUUUAUUCAGGUUAUAUGGGUACCUGGCAGCUUUGAGAUAGGGGUUGUUGCACAAAAUCUUGGGAAAUCAGGAAAAUAUCAUGCCGUUUUAUGCAUUGGCGCUGUGGUACGAUUCUUGCUAUAAACAACUCAGACCAUUCAAUUCUGUUUCCUCCUGUGACUUCUUCAAGUUAUAGAAAGUUUCUCUCACAUGCUUAAAGUUGGUUUUUGAUAUACUCUUGUCCUUGUUGUGGUUUAGAUAAGAGGAGAUACCACACAUUAUGAUGCUGUUGCUAACUCUGCUGCAUCCGGAGUACUUUCUGCUGGCAUAAAUUCAGGUUUAUCUUCAUAUACAAUUGCGGGAUAUGAAUUUGUAAUUUUUAUGUAAUAUUGUUUUGAAAACAGUGAAAGAUUGGUUUUGUGUACUUCUGAACCUCAAAGAGCUGGUAGUUCACUUUUGCCUGUCUAGGGAUUUGGGAUGAUUCAAUUCCCGCAUCAUAAAUUAGUUCUUCAAAUUUUAUUUCUGGUUAUCCUCUCACUAUUCACUUUAGUAGUAAUUAAAGUUUUAAAAAAAUCCACUUUGCAGGUGUUCCAUGCAUAUUUGGUGUACUGACUUGCGAGGACAUGGAUCAGGUUAAGUUUUGUAAUGCAAGAGUUGAUGAUAUAUAGUUUAUAAAUCAUAUGGAUAGACACUGAUCUUGUUGCUAUUGUGGUCAAACUGAAACUCUAGGCUUUGAAUCGAUCUGGUGGCAAAGCCGGCAAUAAGGGAGCUGAAACUGCUUUGACUGCGGUAAGUAUCAUAAAGAUUAUUCAUUCCUUUAUUCUUAGAACAAGAUAGAAGUUCCUAAUCAUUCCAUUACGCAAGUGGUCAUUCGAGUUACUGUCUCUUCGUCUUCAGUAACGUCCUGAAAUUUUCUCUCUUACUCUUUCUUCAGCUCGAAAUGGCGUCGUUGUUUGAGCACCACCUGAAAUAGCUCUGCUGGCAAUGAUCACGUAUGAGAACUGCAUGCUGUUGUCGCAUUUGGUUACAAUCCAAUCUCCAAAAUUGUACCUCAAAGAUAUUCAAAUUGUUUUGGUGAGAAUAUUUAAACGCUUUUGUAAGCUUUUGGUCUUUCUUUUGAAUCGUGUGAUAAUAAUAAUAAUUCCUCUGAAUUUUGGGGUUUUUUCUGCACCAAUCAAAAAUGUAAUCAUAUUUGUUGUAAUAUCUUAAAGUUGAGGUGUUGAAAUGGGAUUUUCAAAUUUUUAAAGUCCAAUAAGGACCUUACACGACGAAAGUUUUGUCGGCAAGCGAAGAUAACGCGUCACACAUUCAUUAUAGUUAAAAGGUUCAACGAACCAACUAAUUCCACAAUCUUCUUCUUCAUUCACUUUGGUUGGGCACCACUCUCUCUUCUCUGUCUCUACAGACUGCAACUCACUUUCAUCCAAUCCAAGUCUCCAGGUAAAAAAAUUCAACUUUUCUUCUGAUCGUUGUUGUUCUUGCGUUGACCCUUUCAUGAUUUCAUCAGAGAGAACGUUGGUGAUUAGAUCGAGCUUUUCUGAUCCUGACCUUAUUUUCUCCGAUCUGUUUGACACUUAGGUUGAUCUAUUGCUAUCUUGUUCAGAUCGAACAUUCGGAUCGUUAUAUUUCUCAUGAAUCACGUGAUAUGACCAUUGUCUCUUAGUACAGAAAUGCCAUUGUAUGUUGUUUGGUUUGAGCUAUACAUGCCACUAGGAUGUUGUUAUGAUCCUAGUUGAUGAGAUCUUAUUGUGAUGCGAGUUCCUUGAUGGUGUUUGGUGAGAUCAAAGAUAUGAUGCAUCAGCAUUGUAUUGGAUAAGCCUUUUACGACUACUGAUUACUGUUUGUUUUGACUUUUUACAACCAUUGUAUGUUUUUCCUGUGUUGCUUGAUUGUGUCUGAGUUUGAAUCUACUCUCCAAGUUUUGUCUAUUCCUUUGAUACAUACUAACUGAAUUUUGAACUGUUGCUGCUUAGGUAGUAGGUAUGUCGACUUCUGAAGAUAAACCGGAAAUCCUCACUAGAGGUCCUGAUGAGGGUGACGUGAAAAUCGUCGAUAGAGGUCAGAAGGAUAAGGACGAGGAAAAAGAAGAAGGGAAAGGUGGAUUCCUCGAUAAGGUCAAGGAUUUCAUUCAUGACAUUGGUGAGAAAAUCGAGGGAACCAUUGGGUUUGGGAAGCCAACUGCUGAUGUCUCUGCCAUUCAUAUCCCUAAGAUCAAUCUCGAGAGGGCAGAUAUUGUUGUAGAUGUGCUUGUGAAGAACCCGAAUCCAGUUCCUAUCCCUCUGAUCGAUAUCAACUACCUGGUCGAAAGCGAUGGGAGGAAACUGGUUUCAGGAUUGAUCCCUGAUGCUGGAACCCUCAAGGCUCAUGGAGAAGAAACUGUGAAGAUACCAUUGACUUUGAUCUAUGAGGACAUCAAGAGCACUUACAACGAUAUCAACCCCGGGAUGAUCAUACCUUACAGGAUCAAGGUUGAUCUGAUUGUUGACGUGCCAGUAUUGGGAAGACUGACAUU
rnacentral:lncRNA from 1 species